CUCUCUCUCUAUCUCUCUAUUUUCAGCAUUUUUCUCCAUCUCCCUCUUCCUCUCUCUCUCUCUCUCUCUCCGCUACUCCUCUCCCCUUCCUUUCUCACCGCUACUUCUCCUCGCGUUCGCGGGCAACCGAAGCACCUCCUCCUCUUCCCCCUCCUCCUCCACCAUUGCCAUCGUGAAGAGGGAAGACUAUAAACGCACCAAACAUGACUCUGUUUUCUCCGAGUGGAAGCUCUCUCUCUCUCUCUCUCUCUCUCUCUCUCUCUCUCUCUCUCAAAUUCGCAAAAACAAUUAUCAUUAUGAGGGACCCUUGUUCAAAUGUCCCAAAAACAAUGAAAGAAAUUUGGAUUUUUGAGAUUUUGGAUGUUCUUUUUUUUGAGAAUUGAAGUCAUCUAAGUUAGCAUCCUAUUUAUACAACUUUCAGUGGGUUGCAAGAGAGAUAUGUCAUUCAUUCAUGUCUCAUGUGCCAAUGUUUGUGAAAAUGGGUUGGUCUGUUUUCCUAUGUUGGUUUUUUCACCUUAUGGUCGAGUUGAAGAGGUCUAUCUUAUGCAUGAUGAAAUGAAGCAGAGUCGUUGUUUGUCUUGUUGCUCUUUUAGUUACACCAUGUAGUCCUAUUCAGUCUUGUAACUAAGCUAUUAUUUGAAUCUAAGUGGCACAAACACUUCUAGGGAAGAGCACUGUUCUUGUCCUACAUGUGUCGGACAUCGAUACUUCUUAGACACUCCUAGAAACGUGCCCGACACUUCUUCAACAUAUCCUGAUUAAAAAAUGAAAUAAAAAUUUCGGACAAUUUGACAACACUAUGCAAACACUUAGUGUUCUCUCUUGGAUAUGUGUGGUGAAUAUCUACAGUAACAAUUCAAACACUUGGUGCACCCAUAAUAUGUCUUGAAAUAUUUUUAAUUUGAUUACAUAAUUUGCAUGGCCAACAUAGAGUAUACAAUGGACAACUUCUAACAUAUGAAAUGAUAUGGCAAUAAAGAUUAAAAUGUAGUAAGACACCAAGUAAUUGGAGAAUGCAUUAUAUACACGAUGUUUGUGGAUCUCUAUUUUUUCCAUUGCAUUAGCAAUCAAAACCAGUCUAGAACUUAUCCAGGAAAGAAUGGUUCAUUUACAUCGGAUGCUACUUUGCUAUAAUUACUGCAUAGUUACUUUUGGAUCAUACUUUUGAAUUUUAAUGACAUGUCAUAACCUUAUGUAUUAUAAUGAAGAGGAUCUAAAUCAUGCCUCAGAGGCUAUAUGAUCAAUCCAACAAUUUUUAAUAUAAUAAACCAUAAAAGUUAAAACAACAAUUGUCUAUAAAAUAGUAAAGAAAUGAGGCUUCAAUGCUCAUAAUUUAUAUUUUAGUACUUACAAGCACCUUUUUGCAUCUAUAAAUUAAUACACUUCAGUGAGUUAUCUUCAUUGUGGCAAAUGCAGAGAGGAAGAUGAAGAUUCUCAUGCUAAAUUUUUUUUUUCUCAUAUUUCUCUUUACUUUGCUAGGAACCCAAGCAAGAACUAUAUCAGGUAAUAUACCUAUACUUAACCAUAAUGAUUCUUUUUUCAGUCAGUCAAUUGUUUUGUAAUCAGUCACUUGGCAAGCACAUGUUUCAGAACAAGUUGUAACUAUACACUCUUCACUAGUUCAAUGCUUGCUUUAGUAGCAUUUCUCUUUUUAUUUAAUCAAAUACUUUGCUCAGAGUACAUAUCAUUCAACUAUGAAUUUUCUUUCAUGAGUUCUUACAAAGUUAGAAUACUUUUACAAAUGCUUGAAGUACAGUUGAAAGUUUGAAGUCAUCUUACAAUCUUAAAUUAAUAACUUUAAUUAUUUUAGCAGUUUCAAUUUAUUUUCUAAACUGUCAUUAUCGUUGUGAUGUAUAACAUGAACAUCCACGUGACAAAUUAAUGAAGAACAAUUGUGGAAGGACCUUCAGCCCAACAACAGUGUCUCUAGCAUCAUCAUCACGAAGCCACAAGAUAAAAUGCGCCUCUCCUUGCAACAAAGAGCAUUCCUCCAACUUUGCAAGAAAGACUAAUUAUGAAAGAUCGUCAAAUCCACCACCUCCAUCUCCAAGUUCAUCACCACCAACUGAACAAAUAUCAAACGCUUUUCCUCGUGGUGAAGAUCAUUCCUUUAAUUUUUUGCGAAGAAUGGAUUAGUAUGGAAGGACCUCAAGUCCACCACUGCCAUCGCCAACAUCAUCACCACCAACCCAACAGAUAUCAAGGGCCUUUUCCUUGUGGCAAAGACCAUUCUUGCAACUUUUUGGAAAGAAUGACUCAAUAUGGAAGGACCUUAAGUCCACCUCAGCCAUCCCCAACAUCAUCACCACCAACCCAACAGAUAUCAAGGGCCUUUCUUUGGAUUGAUGGAGACCUUGAUAUGUUUUGUUAUUAAAAAAUUUUUUAAUUUGGAUUUUAAUUGCUGGUUUGGAUAGUAUAUGUAUUUGUUAGAUUAUACUAUGUUUAUGAACUCUUAUUUUCUUUGAUAUGUACGGUUGAUAGUUAAGUUUUGUUUGUGGUUGAAAA